GAGGGUAUAGCUCAAAGUGGUAGAGCACAUGCUUAGCAUAUAUGAAGUCCUAGGUUCAAUCCCCAAUACCUCCU
rnacentral:tRNA from 1 species